rnacentral:lncRNA from 1 species
UAAAAAAAAUCAUCUUAUAUUCCACAGCAUCCACACAUUGAGUCACAACUUUCAGUAUAUUUUUUCUCCCACCACUAAACAGCAUUGCGUAAAACCAACUCUUCGAACCCACAAGACCCAAACAUCUUUACAAAUCCACACAUUUCUUAGCAAAACUCUUCAUCCUUUCCUGCAUUUGGUUGUAUAUUGUGAGCAGUUUUUCGAACCUGAAACUGGGUGGAACCACAACAUGUGAUAGGCAAAACCUGUGCAGUUGAUUAGCACAACUGGGUAGGAUUAGAGCAGUAGCAAAUCAAAGCCAACCAAGCCGGCUGACUAAUGCAAAUGGGGCAGGAUUAGGACAAAAUCUCACAAGCAAAUCGCCGAAGAGUGUAUUUGAGAGACAGUCUGUUUUUUCUGUGGGAUUGUCGGUGGGCCGCCUCGUCACCGUCUACAUCGGACCGUUCACGGCGUUGCUUCAGAGAGCUAUGAAAGCGCGCCCAGAAAUCAUGCAACCUCCCUCCCCUUGCAAGUUAAAACGGCGGCGGAAUUCCCAAGGCGGAGACAAAGGGCCCUCUCAUCAUAACCCGCUUGCAGCUCACAGCUCCUCACGAAGCGCACGCACACACACACACACAGCCUCAUACACACUCUUAUACUUCCUCAUUUUCUCUCACUUGCUGUCGCCGCCACUGGCACCCGCCGGCGCCUGUUUCAGCAGCAGCAAGCACCAGAUCUGUGACAGAGAUGGCCUACACUUGAAGUUAGUAUGCGCGGGCGCGCGGCCCCCUCCCCCGAUGAGUGGCGCGCGCGGGGACUGUCACGCAGCUGAAUGGUCAGAUCCGGGGUGCGGCGCAUGGGAUUGUACAAUUGCAGUUGAGCUGGAGGACUGGGAUUGUCAUGGAUCCAAGGGGACCACCUGACGACCCUAUUAUCCUGUGGGGUGGGGUGUUAUUGGUACAAGCGCUAUGACUUGUGGGGAGAGAGAUCUUUGCAGGUAGACAUGGAAGGAGGUUGAUCGUUGUGAUUGUGGUUCCGUGGGCUAUGGUUUUGGGUAGGUUUGAGAUCUGAAAACUUGCUGGGGUCGGUGAAGGGUCCUUGUUACGACUGAGCUUUCGAAUCCAACUCUGUGUAUCGUCAGCUUUGGUGUGUGUGUAUGUGGUAUCAAUGCUGCCCUGGCCCAAUCGUUGCUGCAUAUCAUUGCUCGAUCACGUCGUGUGGGUGGAUCAUCUUCUCGGUGUGUGAUAGCUGGUGCUGUACAUUUGCAAGGAGGGAAGAGGAAAUUUGUUUGGAGGGAGGCUUGCGUAGAGAAAAGCGAGAGAGAGAGAGAGAGAGAGAGAGAGGGAGAGAGAGAGAUUACUGGAUGAGGUCUUGUCAAUUUUGGGGAGGGGGGAUUUUGAUGCGCAUCGUGGCGCAUUCAUGAGCGGCGUGGGAUGAUGUUUGUCGUGGGGAGAUUGAUUAUCGACAUUGAUGUGGAAAGAUACUAGAUGCUCUCAACGCGUAUCUGGGGUGAGGUUGGUGCGAGCGGUAGUAGACUUGUGAUGGGAUGCAGAGGUUGUCACAUCUCGUUUUUCAGCUGCUUUCUUUCGUUCAUUUUCACUUCUUUUCUUAGAGAAGUGCAUCUUUCACGCCUUCUGAAGUGGGGUAGUUGAGAAUUUAAUGCAACGAUGAAGUUCUGCUCCGCGUGACUCGUGCAACUGGUUUUUCGCAUUGAGGGUGGUGGAGGUAUUUCCACUGUCAGACUUCUUGACAAAAAUUGAAUUUGACGCGUUCUCACUUAAUGCAUUCCUACAAUAGAUUCCGUUAUACCCUUCCGCAGUCCAGUUUUAAACCGUUAAAGACUGUAAUUUCUGCUGUGAAGAAGUGCACUGAAUUGGUCAAUUUCCAGGAUUAAUAGUUAGUUACGCGGUUAGAUGGUGUGAACUGGUCGGCUUUGAUCUCCUCUUUGCUAUUCGGAAGAUUGCAUUUUGUUUUUCAGUCGCUUGAUACUCUCAACAAGCAGGAGACCUUCUCUUGUGCAUGGUUUUCACAAACAAUUGAUUCAUUUCGUGAACACAAGUACAAUUUUCCUUCCAUCAAGAACUUGCUUCAUCACAAACCACUUUUGUGUCAAUACGCAGGGAUUUGAAUUUACUCGAAUGCGGAAUCAGAUUUCAUGAUAUCCAUAAAUUCUUCGUAUAUCUGAUUGUUUUUGUGAGGUUUUAGCGUCCAACAUUGAGAUUGAGACGCCUGCGACUCAAGUCGAUUGAGUAAAAACACUGCAGUUCAAAAUGCCUAGUCUGGGAGCCGUGAGACGCUCAGGCAGCAUGGAGACCUUACGUCAAUCCCCAUCUCUUUGUCGCGCUGCCGACGUGCUUUAUUUGCUCGGUCGUGGCGCCCAGCUUGAGCAUCUUCACAUGAUAAAUGUACAGUAUGCAUCUCAUCAACCGGGCCCUACUUUUAAAGGUAUUCAGCCUACACCCAUUUUUUAUAAAAAUCAUUUAGUCACUUUUUUUAAUCUUUUUUCUAUUUUUUUCGCAUCUAGACUGGAUUUCUUUUCACAGCUAGACUACAUUUCUCUUCAGAGACAUGAAUUCAUGUUUGGAGUUGUGUUUUAUAAAAUCUCGCUCUAUCUUUUUCUCUCGCGCGCUCGCGCGCACGCACACUCACACACACGAACAUAUAUAUAUGCCUGAUUUUCUUGCAAGUGGUGGUUUCUGUGAGUUUGUCGAUGACGUAUACCUGCUAUGAGAAUGAGCGGACUUGUGCUUAAACACUGGCUUAAAGAUUAUUGGGCUUCUGUGCUCCACAAUUAAGACUUUUUGGCGUUUCAGAUGUAAAAAAUCGUUUAAUCGCGCUGCGCGGCAGCGGAAUGCCAGGCUCGUUUUCUUGGUCUUACAAAAGGUAUUAAUCUCCUUUUAAAUUCGAACCCCCUUGUUUGUUUUUUGAGUUGAUCUCAUUGAAUGACGAGGUAGACUGAAACUAGGUAAUUUCAACGUGUGAAUGGGUUGCUAAAUUAUCAAAAACAGUUCUGCUUAAAUUGGCACAUCCUCUUGUGACCUACAACUGUGAGGUCCUUGAUGAUGAAACAGGAAUUACAAGGACACGUUCAUCUGGUGCGAUUUGUUCGACGAUGAUUUCAUUCUCCCUCUUUGCGAGACUGGCGAGUAUGUCUUGAAAGCUUUGGAACUCUUCAAUGCGUCGCAAGGUGCGUUAGAGAAUGAAAUUUGCUGGUUUAUCACAGCCUGCAAUAGAUUAUGAUUGAUUCUCUGUGGCAUGAUUUUUCAACUAGCUUGCACAGGGAAAGCAGAUAUAGUACGACUUAUUCUCUGUUUCUCCUUUGCGCUGUGGCAGAUAAAGAUGUCGAAUGUAAAGAGUUACACAUGCCAACACAAUCCCUGCCCAUUAGGAAUUCUAGAGUCAGUAGCCCAGUCAAGCCAUUAAGAUCUUCUACUUGGGAAGAGCAAUUUGACUUAGAAAGCGAAGUCUCCAUGGCAAUCAAGAAGAGUUUGAUCCUCAUUAGUGAUGCUGGUAAUGUCACCUUUGACAGCAGCUUGAACUUGAGCAAGCAGACUAUGAAUAAACUUUCUCAUAACAAGAGAGCGCUUGAAGUUGGUCACUUAGAUCAUAGUGAUAUCUCCAAUACUGGCACAUACGCCUCACUCGACGCAGUUGAGAACCAGCAGUUUCCUGAUCAGCAAAGAUCCAAGUGCAAUGCAGCCAGAACAGAAAAGGCCACAGAGGCUAAGCCGUGCUAUGCAAGAUCGCAAACUGUGCACAGAAAGACUUCAAUUCAAAGGGGUGCCUGUAGCAGAGGCAUAUCUCCUGCAGUAGGAAAUCCAGGCGAGGAUACGGACUAUCCAAGAAAUGAAAUGAGGGGCGUUGUACCCAUGGCUGGAAAUUCUUUAAUAGCAAAUCAAUGUAGUGCGGGCUCACAAACGUCUUUCAGAGAGACGUCGCUACAGGGGGGAGUUGCGAAGGAUUGCAACGAGUUGGUAGACCGUUCGGCAGCCGCAAUCAUCAAGAAAGAUGAAAUGUUAGCCUUUUCUUCCUCUCCGACCACGAUCCCAAAUGCGAAGAGAAGAACGUGGGAGAAGGAGAUUAACAAAGACAACAUGUGUACAGGACUUAGCCAAAGUAAAAGCUCCGACGAUGAGCAUCUCAGCCCUCAUAGGGAAGUCCAUAAAUCAAGUUCGCCAUGCUUAUCUGCUUCCGAUGAUCCGUUCUUGUACAACGUAUUGCGAAAGGCAACCAGGCUGGGAAGUCCUAGGCCGCGGAUGUGCAGAGGAGUUGAUGUCGUUAAUUCAACUCGAGCCAGGACGAAGAUGCACUUCAGAAGCAAACCAAGGGAAGUUGGCAUUGAAGUCUCUAAGAAGCCUGAGAGGCAGCCAAAAUGUUUGGUUGAUGAGACUUCAAAGAACAACAAUUCCUGUUCAAAAUCUCCAAAGAUACAUAGCAGCUACACCUCUUCAGAAAGGCCUGCGAAAGAACUCAAGUCACUCUCCCAUUACUUUGAGACCAGGGAGAGAACUUCAUCCGUUAUCAAGCUUAUGAGUGAAACGCCAUCCAUAGAAGAAAAACCUAGGCAGCAGUUGAUCAGCGUUCAAGCAGACCCUCAAGCACUUAGUGAUGCUGCUCUUGCUACUAACCCACCUCGCCCAGAAUUCCGAUCUUCUGGCAAUGACGCUCUUGAUGCUUCUUACAGGAAAACUAUGGAAGUCCUUGCCAAACUUCCAGUUCGAGGAGUAAGUUAAGUUCACACAACUCCUCAGAGAAAUAAUUGCAGAUGCAGUGAUACGUGUAGUGUCAGAAGCAGAGGAACACAGGUUCAGAUCCGAAUUGGAAGGCAGUAAGCAAGGGCCGAAAUUUGACACGAAGAGCUCCAUGGCGUGUGCGCUUUCACCCAGGCAAGUCCCCGCACCAAGGGUUGAACAUGAUGCUCACAAUUCAUGCUCUAUGCACAACACGCACGGUAGAACUGCUGCAAUAACCCUAGAGGAGUCCUCAAAGAACAAGUCUUCGAGGCAGAGAAGACCAAAUUCCAAGAAACCUCUAGGAAAAAAAAAUAGUAGCUCACUGCAUUUGAUUUCCAGGUAUGGAUUACUCAGUCCUUGAGUCACGAUAAACUAAUCCAAAUACAAUUUAGGAAAAAAUGGAAUCAAUGUUAAAAGAGGAUUAUUGACCACUCAAAGAAGGUUUAAGACAGCAUCUUUACAGGCACUCUGUUGUGACAUGCAUUAAAAAGAGACUGAUUAUUCUAAAGGCUCAUUAUGAUAACAGGGCUACUUGUUAUCCCAUGAGCAAGUACGGUACGAUUGAAUAACAACCGCUUCAAUGUUGUCUGGAAAUAAACAGCCAAAGGUCUGACGUUACCUUGAAGAUCCCUGAUGAGAGGACGAUUAAAAUUUCUAGGAAUUCGAGCAAGGAGUCUUCUCCCAAGCACUGUGCUGAACAAUCAAACACGGAGAAAACGUCAAUCAUAUCUCAGCUCUCGGAAAGCUUUUUGUUGGAUUCCCGUACUUCACAUUCCAGUAGUGGUAUCGAAUUGGGGUUGACGCGGUCCAUUCAGAUAGCAACCAAGGCAGAUACCACUGCUGUAGCCAUUCCAGAACAGCCUUCACACGAAGUCUCAAAAGAAUGUCCUUUUGACCAGCCUGGCAAGCCAAAAGAUUACAAGAGUAGAGAAGACAGGUGAGUCUAGGUUAUUAUUCACUUUCUUGUACUGCUCCAUGCUUUUAAUUCAACGUACUGAUCAAAAUUAUUGUGGCUCUCUUUUGAAAUAUCAAAGGAUAUUUUUAUUUUUCAAUAUACUAUAACGAUGCAGUGUGACCUUUCGUGGUAGGCUGUUGACUCCAGGUCUAACGCAAAUGGAUCGGGAAAAGUCGCUUCAAGAUGCAGUCAUGAAAAGCGAACCUCCUAUGAACUUGGUUUUACAUGAAUGCUCGUAAGUAAACGCAGUCCCUGAUUGAGUUAAAGCUCACCAUUAGUAUUAAGAUUCUAUAUGUCUUCUAGACUGAAUUAAACGUACACUUAUAAAUUAAAGUAAAAGGUACGAGUUGAAAGCAGCCUGUUCAACACUUUGUGUGCAGCACCGAGACAAUUACAGCCGUUCCUACCGCCGGAUUGCCAUUUUAUAGCAGCAGAACUGUUGACCCUUCAGUCCUCUUGCAGCCAAGUUUUGAGUUGUAUACGAUAUUUAUUUAUCUAUACACGAAAUUCUUACCAAACUUGAAUUCAAGCGCAGAGCAUCGAUUGUAAAACCGAGGACUUCUCAUGUUUCAUGUGUAUAAAUAUUUCAAUUUGCGUCUCACUCUUCUGAAAACCAAGAUCUAAGAAAUAUACAUCUUAUGUGGAAGACUUUUAAUUUCAGUCCGAUUUGAUAUGGAUAUGUGGGAAUAUAACCCGAUUGCCCGAGGUUAAGAGGGUUGCAUUGUAUUGACGCAGGCAAUGUGGGAGGACCUUCAAGCCCGAGUCAUUGCAGGUACAUAUGCGGGGUUGUCACUCAAUCAAUAAGUCCAAGUUGUCCUCGCGGAGAAGGAAAGCAUCUGUUUAACUUCUAGAAAUCAACUCACUCUAUGCAAGAAUGCCUCCCUCAUUGACAACAAUUGUUAGUUUUUCCUCUAUCUCUGAAUUUUGCGUCCAAGUAUCUUACAACUUAGAGCUUCAUACAUGACAGCUCCCAACAAGAGAACAGAAUUGUAAGCAGCUGGCUCUUGAGCUGCUCCCACUUUCUCAUGAAUCGAACCGUGUAGUUCGGAUACAGCUCCUUUAAUGAAGUUGUCUCGCAAGGUAUUCUGUAUAUAAUGGGGCGUAACAGUCGAUUGCUUUCCUUGAUUUGAAAGGAACGGAAAGCAUCUAUUAUUGCGUAUCUGGCUUGUGCGGAAAGUCCAUUACUCGUGUCUGUCUUCACUCUUAUAAUUUCCUCUUCUGCCUAGUGGAGCCAAUCGACAUUCUGUCAUUCCGAACUCUAUUUUCUUUUUUAUUGUAUCUGAAAUAUAACAUUAAAAGGUAUUGCUCAAAAGAUUGUAUAUAUGUUACAUAAAAACUUCAGAUUGUCACUUGCACUUCCUGCGGCUAGUUAAUCAAAAUGAGCACCUUAAUAAACUCAUGGCGCGCUUCUAAAUCCUUCAUCUGUGCUGGUGAAGAAACAGCAGCAAGCUGCCCCAUCCCCGUGAGAGCGAUGCUACUGAAGGAAGCCGACCCAUUCUAGACCACUCCCCAUUUCCUACUUACUUACUUGUUAAGUUUACAGCGUUUUUUUUUUUUGUUUUUUUUUUUUUUAAUUUUAUCAAGGAAAAGUGUUGGAGGAGCUGGUUGAAUUCCAGUUACCUCAUUCACAUAUCAUCCUUAGUUAGCAUAAAAUUAGGUGAAGCUUGAUAGCUAACUAGGUGUCACACUUCUUGAUUAUGGGAAAGGAAGAUUUUCAAAUUUUGUAACCCAUCACUGAUCAGAAUUAGGAUGACUUGAAUGUUAGAUUUGGGUGAAAGAUCCUUCUAAAAACCUCUUGAUUUCUACUUUAUUACAGGGCAUAUUUUUCUUUCAUUUUCACACUGACUGCAAAUAUGCUUAAAUGCUUAAGUUAUCGGAAAUGGGUCAACUGCCUUAAUUAUUGCGUAUACCAAGCACAAACUUGUUGUUAAAGCCUCCAAAUCCAGAACUGUUUGGGACAAUAUCCAGGGAGCUAAAUUGUCCAUCAAUCCCCUUCACUCUCAUGCUUCAAGUUUUUCAUUUGCAAAUGCAUGUUAUUAUCAAAUAUCACGACAAACUAAAAUUCCGGUAAAAUGUAGGUCGGUGCUGAAUGAGCAGGGUAGUACACCAUUUGCAAUUUCUCAGUUCCACCGUAUACGUAAUAGUAUAAAAAGAGCUUGACGCCUAUAGAGCAUAUUGUCAUUGACAUACCACAUCCAGACUUUUACCAAUGAAGGCAUGCCAUCAGUGAGCAGAGUUGUCCGUAUGUCUACAAGAGUGUCAAAAAUCAAACCUUAGCUUCACAGCUAAGGUUGUGUAAGACUAUGUAAGCCAUGCAAAAGGUUUCAACUAUCCACAGAGUUGUAUAAGAGACAAUCUGGACAGUUCAACUGCAUAUCUCCAAAAUAGACAUCGACUAAACUAGCAAGAUUAGCCAAUACACAAGGUCAAGGACAAUGUCUUCUUAGUUGAAGAGUUUAGAAUUUCUUAAGUGAACUUUAAGCUGGCAAUAAUCCAGCGAACAACCGUUUCUCUGGAACUCUGGUUGGCAGAGACCAGGAAUGUUAAAAGAUAACACCCAUGACUUAAUUGAUGGAUUCAGGUACGCACAGAUUUUACACUUUCUCAGACCCGAUACUUUUGUAAGAUAACCUGAAGCUCCUAGAGUACUACCGAAAGAACUUUAAGAAGGCAGCAAGUUAUAACAGUCACCAGUGGGAUCUUUCAGAUUAAAAUUUGUCGGUAUUGCGUAUCCACUUCGUGGCGACCCAUUUUUCGCCUUUGAUAACUGGACAGCUUCCAUGCAAUGCGGUCUGUUGUUGGGAAGACAUUAGAACAAGAAGGUUUGCACGUUCAUCGCCAAGCAUAACCAAAGCACAAACAACUGAUGUAAGGAGGGUGUUAAGAAAUAAUUUUCUUUAUGUUAUGUCGAAAGAAACCGAAAAUUCAUUUGGUUGAAUCAAACGAGGGUUUCUCUUUUAUGAACUCGAACACAGAAGCAUCAUUCGACUCCCUUGUAACAUAGUAUUCAUACGAACAACUGAAAGGAAGACUCCAAGCAGACCAGCUGGCAUCACAAUUUGAGUAAGUUCGAUGAGCUUCAUUGAAUAAAAGAGAAAGAAUUGCUAAAUUUCAUCAUAGAACUGAAGCCAAAGAAAAGGACCUUUACCUUGUCAAAUGUACCGUUAGGAUGCAUUGAAUAGAAAAGAAGAGCAUCGCCUUGGCGGGGUUUCACUUUCAACCCAAUACAGUCCUUAUAAUUAUAGCCUGUGUUCAUAUUUUGAAAGUUCUGUUGCAUUCAUGACUAUAUAUUAGAUGAGCGUAUUGAAACUUGCUAAAUUAGAAAGUCUAGAAAGUAAGACGAAAUACCUCAACCAACGCUAGAAAAGAUUGAAUCAGAUAACCUGGAAAAACUUACUUCGAAGGGAAACAUCGUUUCUCCGCCCUCUUCGACGUCUGAUAAAUAAAGGAGAAAGGAAGCCAUCUGAGCAAGACAAGAAAAACUAUAACCAAUGAGGGAUGGCCUGAAGGAUAGCUGAAUAAGACUUAAAUUGAUACAUUUCACUGGACGUAUUAAGGCUGGCAAAUCUAAGAUCAUGCACAGUUAAAAUAUGUAAACAUCGACAGUUGUUCGUGGAGGAUAUAUUCACCAUAUUCUCUCAAUCAGUAACAAAAUGUUACGAGACAGUUGUUUCAGAACACAGGGAUCAGCAAAAUAGAUCACAUCAACUACCCACAUCAAGUCUCAAAACCUACAUGAGAGUGUAAAAGGAUUACCCGCUGGCUUGGUUGAGGACCAUACUCAGCUGGAUCAAAAACAUCAUAGUGACAAUCGUAUUUUUGACCUGGGUUGUACCGCAACACAUUAAAAGCCUGUAGCAGCCACAAAUUCGAUCCAAUGAAGAUGAGAAGGGAAAAGAAAAUUUUAACAUUUUAAGGACGUUCACCAGUACAUGACAUGGUAAACAAAUAGUCUUCAAAGCAAGCAAAAGUCUACGUUAUCAACGGAAAGUGAUACAAACCUCCCCAUUCUGCCGAGGUAUCAUGGUUGCUCUGGCCAUCUUCUCCUCAACCUCCGCUAAACUCUGUGUUUUAUCUUCACUGGCUCUCAAGAAAGUUCCAGAACUGCCUCGAAAGCACACCCACCGAAGAAGAACAUUAAUUCCAAGUAGCAGGCAAGUUGCAUUUAUCAGACAGUAGAACCGAUCUUUCAAAGUCAAGUAAACCCUAACAGGAUGUUAAAACUUCCACCCACCUAGUUCUGAUUUCUUUCGUUGUGGCUUCACUCUCCCCUUUCCUCAAAGCCAGACCAGAAGGAGCAAGACGUGUCCUCGCAAGCUUGAUGAUGGCUUCACAUUGCUCUUUGCUUGCAAAAUUCGGAUACAAAAGGGCACGUGGUUUCCAACUUAACACCUGAAUCAAAAAAAACAUAUACCACCACCAUCCCACAUGUAGACAUCAAGCAUCUGUGACCAAAGCUUCAGAAGUGAUACCUGAAGAACAGCCCGAGAAGAAAAGAACACACGCUACACGAGUAAUUCGUAGAAAGAACAAAAAUGUUCAUACCGAAGACAAGAAAACACACGGGUUAUCUGCCACUUAUAAGAGUCAUCAAACUGUAAAAUACCUGGAAAGGAAUGUCAGUAACAGAACUGUCUCCAGUACGGCCAUGUUCGAACACAAGUUUCUCAUUGGUGACGGGGUCAAUCACCACAUGUUUUUCUUCCUGAAAACAAACGCAUGGCUUUACAUCCAGUCCGUCUAAAAUUCUGAAUAGGCUAAGCUCAUGGAUUCUACAAGAAACCAAUGAAAAAAAAAGAACAACAACAACAACAACAACAACAACAACAACAAAGGAUUGCGUAGUCUGUAUGGGAGAAUUUUCAGCAGACCACCAAGAAACAUUCUAUAAGCAAUUACAACAACAAACCGGUACACUAAGCUCUAUGCAGAAAGUGCUUUUUCAGUAGAGAGGUUUUCAGAAAAACUGUCAGCUCAAUUGAGAGGUAAGUAAACUUGUGUCAUUGAAUAAUUAAACUUGUGCCAAUCCAAAUUCGUGUCUAGCAUAUAACAUCAAAGAGUAAAAAAAUUUCAUGUAUACGAACUAUACCUUGGAGAGGGAAUUGGAACCGUAAAAGCCGACCAAGAAGAAGAAUGUGCAACACAAGAGCACCAGAGGAAAACCAAGCUUGUAUCUUAAAGGGUUUGCACUCCUUGCCCGGACCUUUGGCGUUUUCAUGUCUCAACCGUUUAUAAUCGGUGUCAGCCUUCCUGUUCUUUGCACGCAAGGAGAUUAAAAUAAGGCACGGACUGCCUGGGAGGCAGUGUCUUCACUCAAGGGUCGGAAUAUAGAGGGCCUAGCAGACCCUACAUUUAGCUACUGAAAAUCGAUUCAAUCCAUGUAAAUCAUUGCAGAUAAUUGCGCCAAAUUGUUAUUGAGACUGUCCUUGAAAACAAGAUAAGUGACACUUUAAAAAACCGAUUCUUUGGAAUAAUCCUUCUCCGUUUCCAGCCUCAAAAGCUUCCUGGAACCACCAAGCAAGAAACAACUCAGAAAAAUGCAGCUAGGAAGUCACGCGAUGGAGCUAUGGCAAGCUGUCUCACACAUGUCAAAAUUUCGAUCUCACACGAACACAAAAAUAUUGAUCGGCGACGUAAAAGUCCGCUAAGAAAUGAACACAACCAGUGUGAAAAAUUGAACACAAGUGGCACAAAAUCGAUAUCCCUCAAUUGAAGCUAAAAACACACACCACCGAUCUCCAGUGCAGAGGGAAGAAAAAUUUGAAACCCACUCUCAAAGCUCUCUCACUAUAUGACAUGAUGACACGAUUGAAGAAAAGAGAAGAUACAACAGAAUGAAGCAGUGAAAGUGUUAUUGCCCAUUGCUUAAUACCCAUGAGAAGAUU